CCUACGGUCGGCAGCAGUGGGGCAUAUUGCGCAAUGGGCGAAAGCCUGACGCAGCGAAGCCGCGUGAGGGAUGACGGUCUUCGGAUCGUGAAACUCUGUCAGCAGGGAAGAAGGGUCACUGUGCUAAUCAGCAGUGAAUUGACGGUACCUGCAAAGGAAGCACCGGCUAACUCCGUGCCAGCAACCGCGGUAAGACGGAGGGUUGGAGCGUUAAUCGGGAUUACUGGGCGUAAAGCGCUCGUCGGCGGCAUGUCAAGUCAAGGGUGAAAUCCCCGCGCUCAACCUGGGAACUGCCUUUGAAACUGGCAAACUGGAGUGUGUGAGAGGAUAGUGGAAUUCCAGGUGUAGGAGUGAAAUCCGUAGAUAUCUGGAGGAACAUCAGUGGCGAAGGCGACUAUCUGGCACAUAACUGACGCUGAGGAGCGAAAGCGUGGGUAGCAAACAGGAUUAGAUACCCGUGUAGUC
rnacentral:rRNA from 1 species